AGUGAACGCUGGCGGUAGGCCUAACACAUGCAAGUCGAACGGCAGCACAGUAAGAGCUUGCUCUUACGGGUGGCGAGUGGCGGACGGGUGAGGAAUACAUCGGAAUCUACUUUUUCGUGGGGGAUAAUGUAGGGAAACUUACGCUAAUACCGCAUACGACCUACGGGUGAAAGCAGGGGAUCUUCGGACCUUGCGCGAUUGAAUGAGCCGAUGUCGGAUUAGCUAGUUGGCGGGGUAAAGGCCCACCAAGGCGACGAUCCGUAGCUGGUCUGAGAGGAUGAUCAGCCACACUGGAACUGAGACACGGUCCAGACUCCUACGGGAGGCGGCAGUGGGGAAUAUUGGAAAAUGGGCGCAAGCCUGAUCCAGCCAUACCGCGUGGGUGAAGAAGGCCUUCGGGUUGUAAAGCCCUUUUGUUGGGAAAGAAAAGCAGCAGGUUAAUACCCCGCUGUUCUGACGGUACCCAAAGAAUAAGCACCGGCUAACUUCGUG
rnacentral:rRNA from 1 species